rfam:Mustela putorius furo unplaced genomic scaffold scaffold00047, whole genome shotgun sequence.
GGGUAAGUGAAAAGCUGGUGGCCGUGGAACAUGUGCUUCGUUUGAGCCAUGUGUCUGCCGACCAUCACCUUUAGAAGCCC